rnacentral:lncRNA from 1 species
AAAUAUUAAAUUGUUGUCAAGCAUCUCAGAGUUGGGAAGCAUUGCAUAUCAAUUUCAAACGCAGGUUGAGGACCUUGCAAUCGAUGGACUACCUCCUUGCUACUUAGUUUUGACAUGAAAUUCCAUAUAUCUAACAUGAGAAUAUUUAAAGUAAUGCAUGCAUGCAUGAACAUGAUCAGCACAAGCAUGAGAGAGCAAAAGAGAAAGAGAAUUAGCAAGUUUGAGAACGAUAGUGUACGAUUAGUUUAAUGGUUGAGCAAUCACAAAAAGUGAGUUUAGGAGCGUGAGGAGGGAAUAAAUGCCUUAAUUUCACAUUCGCAAAAUUGUGUGUCAACAAGGACAACAUGCAAUUGACGCCCUUCUUUGUAUGUUCUAACAAUAGCUUCUAGUUAAUUUGUCUUUUUUCAUCCAUAUAUCUCUCUGCAUUUCAGUGAACAAAUAAAAAAUGUUACCAAACAUACUUACAACAAUUCUUUUUAAUAUUAUAUAUUAAAUAUUUACACUCAUGUGAAAAAACAAAAGAUGGAAAGAAAGUAACUACUUCAAAUCUUUGUGCAUUUUCUUUUAAUCACUCACAUAGUUGAUCUCGGGUUUUGAUUAAAAAAAAACACAUCUAAUCUUCAAGUGACACCAACAUUGAAUUUGUAAUUUGAGAAAGAGAAGACCUGCGAAAGCAAAGAAAAAUGACUCUGAUGUCUAAGUAAGUAAGAGAAUUAUAGAGCAAAUUAAAUGAGAAGUUAGAAGUUAUAUUUACCUCACAUGAAGGCAUAAUGGAGUGUAUUCAUAAGAGAUUUGGUAUAGGUUUAUCUUUGUCCAAAUAGGAUUAGGAUAUGAGUUUCUUAAUCCUAGAUGAGAUAGGUUAUCUCUCAAGGUGAAUGAGCCAAGACGUAUCCAAUAAAGAAGGUUGGUCUCGACCUCGGCCUCGAUCGAGAGUCUUUCUUAGACUAUAUAUUCAUACUUCAAGUAUGACUUUGGGUUGGAGCAUGUGUAAAAUAUGUCAUGAUGGACAUUUGAUAACAGUUCACUUCAACCUCAUCCUUUACCACUUACUUGGAUCUGGUCCAAGCCAACCUCCUUUCCUAGGCUCGCUUUCAUUUUUAGUUGUAUUUUUUUUUGGCUUUUAUCAAUCUAUCUUUCUAAAUUACUAUUAUACCAUUUAGUUCAAAACGUCAAACAAAUAAUUAAAAAUAAUUUAUAAAAGAAAUAAGAAGGAAUUUGGUACGUAACCAAAU